rnacentral:lncRNA from 1 species
AUUUUCAUGUUUUGAUUCAGCAUUUCACUAAGCUGCUUAGGGCGUUACUAAGUUGCAGAGGUUGGUCUUGAACUUGUGAUCCUCCCGACCAGCUUCCUGACUUACUGGAUUCCUGGUGUACACCUCCAUGCCUGGCCCACACAUUGUUUUGAAGGCACAAUUCACAGUGAAGAGGGAUUGUGGAAAUGUCCCAUAAGAUGGUACAUGUGCUUGGACCUCCAAAUUUUGUAGACUUUUAUUAAAGUUCUCAGCUGUUUCAUACCAAUAUCUAUCUUGCUGCAAAAUGUACAGCAUGUGAGUAAGAUGUCAGGAAGAGAGAUUUAAAAGAAAGUGCAAGGAUAUGUGCAUAAACCUUCUCCUGUAGAGUGAUGUGGACUUCUGACUGGAGACCUAAGCACUGCUUGUUGGUCCCAAGCAGGAAGCAAGCAGGGAGGCCCUGAGACAGAAGCACAGCCCUGUGCUCCACAGAGGUCAUCAGGUCAUAGAAGCAAGACCUAGGCAGCCUGACAACAUUAGCCCAGAGACACAUGUGGUCAUUAUUCUAGGGAGGCCCCAAGGAAGAGGGUCAGAACCAUGGUGGUGGGGUCCCAUCUGGAGAGGUCCUUCAGAACCAGUGAACAGGGAGAUGUACAGUCACAACACCUGGUAGGAAUUCAAGGGUUCCCAGGAGUGAGAUGCUCCACCCUAGUAGAUGGAUACAAAGAGUGAUAGGAGAAGCUUGGUGGUUGUCAGUCAAGCUACUCUGGGAAGCUGAUGUCAAGAUGUAUUAGACAAGGGAGGAUGUUCCUGGGAGAUGCCUACGUGAGAAAAUGGAGCAAUCGGACAGACUAGUUAGGCCAUGAUGGCCAUCAAGGCGCAUUUGGCCACAGUUAAGGCAAGGCAGAGGGAAGGUUUGCUGUGAGUGUUCUUGGAGGCUGAUUAUUAGGCUCUCAGCUGGCAACGCCAAGUGGACUGCUCAGUCCUUGGCAGGGAGCAGCCCUGGCGGCCUCAGCAGACUGGAGAACUCUAUUGCCUUCAUCUCCUACACCCUCAGGUAAGGGACACACUCAUGACCACACAGCCCAGUCCACCCCCUGUGCUCUGCAGGGAACCCAUCUCGGGAACACUGGCCCCAUGUUCUCACUUCCUGAAGUGGGAUGAACUAGAAUCCAUUGCUGAAACUGGUCUGGGGUGACCUCAUCUUCUCCUGUCCUUUGUUAUUCAUUCUAAAAUACCUCACCUAGGGCUGGGGAUGUGGCUCAAAUGGUAGCGCGCUCGCCUAGCAUGCGUGAGGCACUGUGUUCGAUUCUCAGCACCACAUAAAAACAAAAUCAAGAUAUUGUGUCCACCUAAAACUAAAAAAUAAAUAUUUAAAAAAAAAUAAAUAAAAUACCUCACCUAGCAAUUCAGUCCCUGAGCUUCAUCACACAACUGUUUCCUCCUGGGCAAAAUAGGGUACUCUCCACCCCACAGGUUGUGGGUGCAGGUCCCUGUGAAUCCUUGGUGACAUUAGUGGUCCUGGGUAAAACACAGGUCUCAGCACUCCGGACUCCUCUUGGGCCAAUUCAAUGGCUGAGAACUGACAGCUCCCUCUGUGAUGGCUGAGCCGUCCCUCGUGCGGCUGUCUUUUUCUUCCUCUUCUCUUCCCCCAGCCCCAAACCUGUCCUGAAUGCUCUACCACUGAGUUACAUCCCCAGCUGUGGGGAGCCACACUGAAUGACCAUACCUUCCAGUCCUGAUGCCUCAGGCUCUGGCCAACCACUGCAUAUGCUGUGGCCUGGUCCGAGACCUGCUCGGAUAGCAAGGAGGUCUUUUUUGUAGGGCGUGACCCUAAGGUUGAGUUACACUCACCUGUUUCUUGUAGUCCUGCCCUUUCUUAGAUAGAACUUUCUAAGAACAAGAGUCCCUCCACCCCCCAUAAAAGCUCACUUCUGAACAUGUUCACUCUCUCUCGUCAGCCUCUCAUGACUUUCUCUUGCUCUCCCUUUUGGAAAGCCUGAGGCCGAGAGCUAGGGAAGCCAUCCUGAAGCUUGUGUCAAGGUAAAUUCUGUCUGUGUUUUAUUUGGUGUCCCUGCAAAUUCACAUGAGCAAUCUUAAGUUCAGCUGCCUGCACUGGUUGGGGGCAUCACCCAGCCCUUUUUAUUUAUUUAUUUAUUAUUUGGGUACUGUGGAUUGAACCCAGGGACACUUAAUCACUGAACGACAUCCCCAGCCCUUUUUAUUUUUUUAUUUCGAGACAAGGCCUCAUAAGUUGCCCAGGAUGGCCCUGAACUUUCGAUCCUCCUGCUUCAGCCUUGCGAAUUGCUAGGACCACAGGCACCACACUGGGCUCCCUUGGGCCUCUGAGGUAACGUGGAGUUGAACCUAACCCCUGGUCUGCGUGGCAACUGCUCAGGAACUCAGCUUUCCACAUCCUCGUUCCUCCGUCCUCCCCUUGAUAAACACGUGCUAAUUGUUGGGGGACCAGCAAUCCCAGGCUUGCCUGAAGCCUGAGAGUCCCAGGGGAGGUGUGUCAGGAGCUAGGACUGAGUGCAGGAAUGUCCCCAUGGACCAGGAGAGUGGAGGGAUGGAAUCAUGUCUCACACAUGUGCAAGUGAGGAAGGAUGUCAACUAUCCCUCAGGAACAACCCCUUUUGAUAACUGGUAUUCUGUUCAGACAAGAGUCCCAUCUAGCCAGCUAUGCAGACAUGUGGCCUUCCACUGCGCUUCCUGACAGGAUGCAGCAGGGCACCAGAAAAGACCCACUUAAGCCACAAGGCCACCUGAACUUGCCAGUCGCUCCUCCACUGGAUCAGCCUCCGCCUCCAGUACCAAAACUGUGCCUUUCUCCCCUUAUUCUUAAAAGGACAUCUCCAGGGGCUGGGGAUGUGGCUCAAGCAGUAGCGUGCUCACCUGGCAUGCGUGCGGCCCGUGUUCGAUCCUCAGCACCACAUACAAAUAAAGAUAUUGUGUCUGUCGAAAACUAAAAAUAAAUAAAUAAAUAUUUAAAAAAAAAAAAAAAAAAGGACAUCUCCAUUUGUUUCGAUGGGAAGCUGGCCUGAGAGUUGUUCUUCCUGGCAUCUCCUAUUCUCUGGCCAAAGAACCACAUUUCUUUCACUGCAAAGUUUGCUCAGUUUUGCUACUGGUUCCACAAUUCUGAGAGGGAGAAAGAAGCACUGUAGGUCAGAAAUUGGUAACAUGACCACCCUCAGUUUUACUUGUCCUGUCCUUCAUGUAAUUGGGUUCAUGAGGCUAAAAACCAGGCCUACUGCACAUCACAUUCUGGAGACCAGCAGUGUGUCCUGUCUAUUAUGGGGCAUGCCACAGUGUGGAUCCCUUCCAGUCGAUGCAGUCAUACUGCAGGGUUUUUUGCUGUUAUAAACAAGGCUGCUAUGAAUGUUCUUCCUUAUGGGUUGAAUUGUGUCCUUCAAAAGCAUGUUGAAGGGCUGGGAUUGUGGCUCAGCGGUAGAGUACUCACCUAGCAUGGGCGGGACCCGGGUUCGAUCCUCAGCACCACAUAAAAAUAAAAUACAUUGUGUUGUGUCCAUCUACACCAAAAAAUAAAUAUUUAAAAAAAAAGAAAAAAAGCAUGUUGAAGUUCUAACUCCCCUGAAACCUGUCGAUAAAUAUGGUCCUAUUUGGAAAUAUAGCCUUGGUAGAUAUUGCCAAGUUAAGAUGAGGUAAUGCCAGAGCCAGGCAGGCCCUGUCUGGAGACCGAUGUUGUGGAGGCAGGCUGUGCCAGCUGACUCACUCUAUGACAUGCAGAGCAGCAGUUUCAGAUGAAGCCUAACCCUUACUACAUUUUGUAAAGCAGUAGUUUGCCAUGAGCUGCUCCAUUUUGAGGAGCAGUGACAGGUGGAACAACUCUAUACCUUGUUUGUACUAGUGCACAACCACCAUCUGCCCAGCACAGCCCUAAGGCACAGAUUGAUAAAUAAUUUAUUGGCAUCAACUUAUCAUGGGGCACCUGGACACAUGACAUCCCAAGCUAUAUCAGAAAACUGAAGUGGAAGCUUAUCAAUCUCACCAGACGCAAUCCCCUCCCUUGAGAUCUGUAAAUGGAGGAGCCCCCCACCCCUAGACUAACCCCAUCACCUGGUCACUUGUCACAAAUCUGGCCCAGGAAAAUCCCUACAGCGAGCUUCAGUUCUGGUUCCUUUGGGCUUCAACACAGCACAUUUUCUCCUGCCUGUGACAACCAGGCCCAGACCAUCCCAACUGACACUGAGACUGAAACUGCAGUCAGACCCUCAACCUUGGCAACUCUGGGGAACUGGUUGGAUAAAAACCUUAGUCCAGGGCUGUGGCUGUGGCUCAGUGGUAGAGGGCUUGCUUGGCAGGUAAGAGGUACUGGGUUCAAUUCUCAGCACCAUUAAAAAUAAAUAAAGAUCCGUUGACAACUUAAAAAGUACUUAAAAGCAUCCUGUAAUUGUGUGGUGCCUGGAC